AUGCUCCUUAUUUACUGCAAUGUUCUUUGCAUGUUACUGUGCACUCCGGACUAACGUGAAGGUGAGGAAACUGAAGACUGAGUCCCAGGCAGUGUUACUUAUUCCAGCAGAUGUAGUUAGAAUUUGGACCAAGUGUGUCUGAUUCUUAUUUAAUAUUUCACACAGUGUUUUGUGGAAGGCAAAGAAAAAUGAAAUAGAGCAUGUAACAGGGUCCAACUAGGAAAACAGAAGUCCUUCUAAGUAUUUGAAAUAAAAGGCACAUCAUAAAACAGUAAGUUGCAUAAUCCAUGAAAGAGCCUAGAAACAAACAGAAGAUGGCAAGGCAAUCUACAGAUUAACCACAGCAGGAAAACAUGCCCACUCCUAAACUGAAGGACUAAAGGAAGGAACUUAGGGCCAGAAUCAACCACAGGAAGCUGGAACCACUGCAGGCCUGUUCAGCAGAGUAGGAGCCAAGGAGGAGGUGCCACUGCUGUUGGAAUUAUCACAGGAAGCAGAAACAUGGAGAAAAAUGCCUUGGCUUUCUUCUUUUUUUCUGC
rnacentral:sRNA from 1 species